rnacentral:rRNA from 1 species
GACGAACGCUGGCGGCGUGCUUAACACAUGCAAGUCGAACGAAGUGGCGAACGGGUGAGUAACGCGUAAUCAACCUGCCCUUCAGAGGGGGAAAACAGUUGGAAACGAAGGCUAAUACCGCAUAAGGAAGGAGGGGAUUGCGUCGGAUUAGCUAGUCGGGGGGGUAACGGCCCACCAGGGCGAUGAUCAGUAGCCGGUCUGAGAGUAUGACCGGCCACAUUGGGCCUGAUACACGGCCCAGACUCCUACGGGAGGCAGCAGUGGGGAAUCUUCCGCAAUGGACGAAAGUCUGACGGAGCAACGCCGCGUGAGUGAUGACGGCCUUCGGGUUGUAAAGCUCUGUUAUUCGGGACGCGGUACCUGAAUAGAAAGCCACGGCUAACUACGUGCCAGCAGCCGCGGUAAUAC